rnacentral:rRNA from 1 species
UGGGGAAUAUUGCACAAUGGGGGAAACCCUUAUGCAGCGACGCCGCGUGAGCGAAGAAGGCCUUCGGUUCGUAAAGCUCUUUUAUUGGGGAAGAUAAUGACGGUACCUCAAGAAAAAGCCCCGGCUAACUACGUGCCAGCAGCCGCGGUAAUACGUAGGGGGCUAGCGUUGUCCGGAAUCACUGGGCGUAAAGGGUUCGCAGGCGGAAUAACAAGUCAGAUGUGAAAGGCAUGGGCUCAACCCAUGUAAGCAUUUGAAACUGUAAUUCUUGAGAAGUGGAGAGGUAAGUGGAAUUCCUGGUGUAGCGGUGAAAUGCGUAGAUAUUAGGAGGAAUACCUGUGGCGAAGGCGACUUACUGGACACAAAUCUGACGCUGAGGAACGAAAGAGUGGGUAGCAAACAGG